UACGUAGGGUGCGAGCGUUAAUCGGAAUUACUGGGCGUAAAGCGUGCGCAGGCGGUUUGUUAAGACAGAUGUGAAAUCCCCGGGCUUAACCUGGGAACUGCAUUUGUGACUGGCAAGCUAGAGUACGGCAGGGGAGACUGGAAUUCCCGGUGUAGCGGUGAAAUGCGCAGAUAUCGGGAGGAACACCGGUGGCGAAGGCGGUUCUCUGGGCCUGACCUGACGCUGAGGAGCGAAAGCGUGGGGAGCGAACAGG
rnacentral:rRNA from 1 species